AUGAUGCAAGCGGAAAAGGUGUGUACUACUUCAAGGGAGCAGAGGCAGAGGCACAUCAGUAUGAUGAUAUCCACCGUGGUGGCCAGGGCGAGGAAGCAGCUCGAGGCCAAGGACCAGGAGAUCGAGUGGAUCAGGAGCAUGAAUUGGGCACUCAAGGAGCGCAUCAGGAACCUCCACAUCGAGGCUCAGGCGUGGUGCAACGUUGCGCAGUCCAACGAGACCGUGGCCAAUGUUCUCCGCGCCGACCUUCAGCAAGUGCUCGAGCAGCAAGCGUUUCGUGGCAGUGGCAGCAACGACAGUGAGGACGCCGCCGGAUCGUGCUGGGGGGAGAAACAUGUGGCUUUUUGCAGGGAGGAGCAGGAGGAGGAGGAGGGUGAGACGCCAGGAGUGGAGCCCUGA
rnacentral:rRNA from 1 species